GUUUUGUGUUUCCUGCUUACAUCACCGGCGCUCGGAAUGCGAGCGAGUGGAUAAUCGCUAGCGCGACUGGAAGCGAGAGGUGACGACGAUGUCCAGAUGAGGGGAGGCUCAUUAUGUUUUGGAGUGCGUGUUUAUGAAAAAAAUGGAAGCGCUUUAAUGAGCAGGUUCAAAUGGUGUGAACGCAUGAGAGGCGCUAAUAUGAUUGCGGAUGCGGGGGGACGGUAGCAGGUGACAAGAGGACUUUCGAGGAACUCGGACCUGCUGGACACUGAAAGCAUUUUUUUGGGGAAGUAUCGAGGUCUGAAGAGGUACCUGAGUGGAGGAGGAGGAGGAGGAGGAGAUGGAACUUGUGGACGGUCAGCGGAGAGCCAAAACAGUUUCUGGCGUCCGGGUACAGAUGGGUUUACCGUUGAACGUCGGAG